GAUGAACGCUGGCGGCGUGCCUAAUACAUGCAAGUCGAGCGAACAGACGAGGAGCUUGCUCCUCUGACGUUAGCGGCGGACGGGUGAGUAACACGUGGAUAACCUACCUAUAAGACUGGGAUAACUUCGGGAAACCGGAGCUAAUACCGGAUAAUAUAUUGAACCGCAUGGUUCAAUAGUGAAAGACGGUUUUGCUGUCACUUAUAGAUGGAUCCGCGCCGCAUUAGCUAGUUGGUAAGUUAACGGCUUACCAAGGCAACGAUGCGUAGCCGACCUGAGAGGGUGAUCGGCCACACUGGAACUGAGACACGGUCCAGACUCCUACGGGAGGCAGCAGUAGGGAAUCUUCCGCAAAGGGCGAAAGCCUGACGGGGCAACGCCGCGUGAGUGAUGAAGGUCUUCGGAUCGUAAAACUCUGUUAUUAGGGAAGAACAAAUGUGUAAGUAACUAUGCACGUCUUGACGGUACCUAAUCAGAAAGCCACGGCUAACUACGUG
rnacentral:rRNA from 1 species